rnacentral:rRNA from 1 species
GAUGAACGCUAGCUACAGGCUUAACACAUGCAAGUCGAGGGGCAGCAUCAUCAAAGCUUGCUUUGAUGGAUGGCGACCGGCGCACGGGUGAGUAACACGUAUCCAACCUGCCGACAACUCUGGGAUAGCCUUUCGAAAGAAAGAUUAAUACCGGAUGGCAUAGUUUUCCCGCAUGGGAUGACUAUUAAAGAAUUUCGGUUGUCGAUGGGGAUGCGUUCCAUUAGGCAGUUGGCGGGGUAACGGCCCACCAAACCAACGAUGGAUAGGGGUUCUGAGAGGAAGGUCCCCCACAUUGGAACUGAGACACGGUCCAAACUCCUACGGGAGGCAGCAGUGAGGAAUAUUGGUCAAUGGACGAGAGUCUGAACCAGCCAAGUAGCGUGAAGGAUGACUGCCCUAUGGGUUGUAAACUUCUUUUAUACGGGAAUAAAGUGAGCCACGUGUGGUUUUU